rnacentral:rRNA from 1 species
AUACGGAGGACGCGAGCGUUAUCCGGAUUCAUUGGGUUUAAAGGGUGCGCAGGCGGCCGUGCAAGUCAGCGGUGAAAGCCCGGGGCCCAACCCCGGAAGUGCCGUUGAUACUGCAUGGCUUGAAUGCGGUCGAGGCGGGCGGAACGGGGCGUGUAGCGGUGAAAAGCGUAGAUAUGCCACAGAACGCCGAUAGCGGAGGCAGCUCGCCAGGCCUGCAUUGACGCUCGGGCACGAAAGCGUGGGGAUCGAACAGGAUUAGAUACCCUGGUAGUCCACGCCGUAAACGAUGGGCGCUCGUCGUCGGCGGCAGACAGUCGGCGGCCAAGCGAAAGCGAUAAGCGCCCCACCUGGGGAGUACGGUCGCAAGGCUGAAACUCAAAUGAAUUGACGGGG